UACAGGGGUCUCGAGCGUUAGGCGGAAUCACUGGGCUUAAAGCGUGUGUCGGUGGAUGCCUAAGUACCUUGUGAAAUCUCAUAGCUUAACUAUGAAACUGCCAUUGAUACUGCGGGUCUUGAGUAAGGUAGAGGUAGCUGGAAUAAGUAGUGUAGCGGUGAAAUGCAUAGAUAUUACUUAGAACACCAAUUGCGAAGGCAGGUUACCAUGUCUUAACUGACGCUGAUGGACGAAAGCGUGGGGAGCGAACAGG
rnacentral:rRNA from 1 species